AACGAACGCUGGCGGCGUGGAUUAGGCAUGCAAGUCGAACGAGAAAGGGUUCGCAAGGACCCGAGUAAAGUGGCGAAAGGGUGAGUAGUACCUAGGUAACCUGCCCUGAAGACGGGGAUAACGUCUCUAACGGGACGCUAAUACCCGAUAUGUCGGCGGCCUCGCAUGGGGUUGCCGGUAAAGAUAGCCUCUGUACACAAGCUUUCACUUCAGGAGGGGCCUCGGGCCUAUCAGCUAGUUGGCGGGGAACGGCCCACCAAGGCUGGGACGGGUAGCCGGUCUGAGAGGAUGGGUCGGCCACACUGGGACUGAGACACUGCCCCAGACUCCUACGGGAGGCUGCAGUCGAGGAUCUUCUGCAAUGGGCGCAAGCCUGACAGAGCGACGCCGCGU
rnacentral:rRNA from 1 species